rnacentral:lncRNA from 1 species
ACAUGAAUAUGAUGUAAUGUAAAAGUACAGUAUGGAUAUGUAAUAAUGGUUAUGGAUGUUAGAGGUGUGCUUGACCAUAGAAUGUUGUUAUCCCUUUUAAUACAUGAUCUUAGAUGUUUUAUGAUAUUUAUGUAAACCAACUCCACACAUAUUAUGUCACCCAUUAGGGCACUGAUGAGAUCCCACAGAGGGGUCAAUGCUUAUGAUUAUGUUAUGUAUAGUGCAUGCACAGGUUGAGUUUGGUGAAUGAAUGAAAGGAAAAGUUUUAAAUUUUUAUGUAUUUUGUUGAUCAUGUAUGGGAUUAAACAGGUUCACAGGACGUAUGUUAGGCUUGCUACGGGUCCUGGCGGCCUUAAGUCGAUCUGGAUCCUAGCGCCGGUAGCGGUCCGAUUUUCGGGUCGUUACAGAUUGGUAUCAGAGCCCUAGGUUCAUAUGGUCGGACCUAGAGUGUCAGGCUCAUAGAUGUUAUAGAAGGUCAAGCACAAUAGGAAAGAACAUGUCCACUAGGAUAGGAUGUUGAGUCCUGUCUUGUAUGAUGAUGUGAAAUGCCAUGAUUUUAUACAUGUGCAUUAAUGGUAUGCUAUGUAUGUGAUGUAUGUGAUGCGGGUUCAUGUGUUUGCACAUGAACCAUUUGAUGCUAAUGUUCAAAGUGAUGUGUGCUGUUUUUCAGAAAACAGGAUGAGAGAAACUCGUCGAUCCGCACGAUUGACUGGAGUACCACUGAAGGACGAGGGCACUGAUGCCCGUCCUCCUGUAUUGCCUAGGGCAAUGUCAAGCAGGUCCAGUAGGGACAGAGCAGUAAGAGACCCUAGAAGGUCUUUGGAUCUGGGUAGAAGUAGAUCAGUAAGGGGAACAGUUCAAGGAGGCAUGUCUGAGGAUGUGGGGGAUAGUAUGGAUGUAGAUCAGUGGAGGGACGACAGUCUUGGAGUGAGUAUGUCGGAAGAGGAUAUGAGAGAGUCCCAAGGAGGCACCCAGGCCUCGGGAUUUGUUCAGCCACCUUACUACCCACCCUUUUCACAUAAUCCCGGGUACUCAAUGGGAGGCACAUCUGAGUACCCCAGUUUUAACCCCUAUCACUCUCAGAUGCCCUACCCACCUUUCUACCCACAGUAUCCACAGUACCCUAUGUACCCACCCCCAUCUUUCUAUCCAGGUACAGCAAACCCUACCCCAGGGGAUGCUGCACCUCCUCCACCACCAACAGCACCUACUGUCCCAAUGACCCAAGACCCUAAGCCUAGCUCAUCUGGGGGGAGCAAGGUCAAAAUGACCGAUUAUAUGAAGCUGGGUGCUCCCCAGUAUGAAACCGGUGAUGACCCAUUUGUGUAUCUUGAGAGGGUCAGAACAAUUACAGAUGAGAUAGGAGCGGAUGAUAGUAGAGCCAUUCAGAUGGCUGGGUUCACAUUGAAAUGUAAGAAGGCCCGAGAGUGGUUUAAGAACUAUGUGAACCCGAGGUUGGAUAGUCUAUCCUGGGAGGAGUUUGCCAAUGAGUUUGCAGGAUGGGCUUUCCCUAACAGUUCAAGAGAAUUGAAGAUGAUUGAGUUCGAGCAGUUGAGGCAAACAGAUGAGAUGAGUGUGGAAGAGUAUACAGACAGAUUCUUGGAGCUGUUGCCGUUUGCUGGGCAGAAUCUGGAUACAGAUCCGAAGAAGUCAAGGAGGUAUAUCAUGAGGCUCCAUUCCAGGUAUUCCUCCUUGAUUCAAUCAGCAGAGAGGGAGAGCUUUCAUGCCAUUGUGGAUAUGGCUCGGAGGAUGGAGGCUAGUGCGAUCAUUGAGGGGAAGGUUAAGCAGUCUGUAGCACAGCCUUUUGGUUCCAAGACCCCAGGUGGGGGAAGAUUAGACCCUUCUUCUCUGAGUUCAGCUAGUAAGAGGUGGAACAGUACCACCAAGAAGCCAAAGAAGAAUAAGUUCUGGAGCAAGAUCAAGUCUGGUCUGGGAUUGGGAGGUGGCUCGAGUUCAGGUGCAGAUAAUGCAGUAUGUAAGAAAUGUGGGAGGCCGCACAAAGGAGUAUGUCUGGUUGGGACGACAGCCUGCUUCAGAUGUGGGCAGGAGGGACACAUGGCACGGGAGUGCCCUAGAUCAACUUUUGGGGCACAGUCUCAGCAGACAACUUCAGGCAGUGUGGCUCAACCAGUAGCUCCAGCCGCAACUCAGGCUAGUGGCAGAGGCAGAGGGAGAGGGGCAGCCUCUUCUUCAGCGGGUUUCAGGGGUGAAGGUCCAUCAGCUCCAGCACGGAUCUUCACCAUGACACAGCAGGAGGCAAAUACAUCCAACACCGUGGUGUCAGGUAAUCUCAUCAUUAGGUGUUCAGAUGUUUAUGCCUUAAUGGACCCUGGGGCAUCGCAUUCUUUCAUUGCUCCGAGGGCCGUCGAGAGGUUGGGAUUGAUGGUCUCUGGGUUAGAGUGUCCCCUAUGGGUCAGUGGACCCAAGUGUGACCCGUCAGUGGUAGAGUCAGUCUGCCAGUAUAGUCCAGUUUUUGUGGAGGGAAGAUGUCUAUCCGCCGACCUUGUGGUUCUAGACUUGACAGAUUUUGACGUCAUUCUAGGGAUGGAUUGGCUAUCUACCCAUAGUGCUACCUUAGACUGCAGAGACAAGGUAGUCAGGUUUAGAUGUCAGGAUGGGUCAGAGGUUGUCUUCAGAGGAGACAGGGGGAGUACACCUAGAGGUAUGAUAUCAGCCCUACAGGCUCGUAGGCUCCUCAGGAGGGGUUGUCAGGGUUUUCUAGCUCAUGUGAGAGAGCUAGAUAGUCAUGUCAGAGAGCCCGCCUCAGCGCCAGUAGUCAGAGAGUUCUUAGAUGUUUUCCCAGACGAACUGCCAGGUUUACCACCUGUUAGGGAGAUAGAGUUCAAGAUAGAAUUGAUGCCUGGAACCAGACCGAUCUCUAUUCCUCCCUACAGGAUGGCACCAGCAGAACUGAAGGAGCUUAAGGAACAGUUGCAAGAGUUGGUAGAUAGGGGAUUCAUCCGACCGAGUACCUCACCUUGGGGUGCUCCAGUGCUAUUUGUGAAAAAGAAAGAUGGAUCCCUUAGACUUNNNNNNNNNNNNNNNNNNNNNNNNNNNNNNNNNNNNNNNNNNNNNNNNNNNNNNNNNNNNNNNNNNNNNNNNNNNNNNNNNNNNNNNNNNNNNNNNNNNNNNNNNNNNNNNNNNNNNNNNNNNNNNNNNNNNNNNNNNNNNNNNNNNNNNNNNNNNNNNNNNNNNNNNNNNNNNNNNNNNNNNNNNNNNNNNNNNNNNNNNNNNNNNNNNNNNNNNNNNNNNNNNNNNNNNNNNNNNNNNNNNNNNNNNNNNNNNNNNNNNNNNNNNNNNNNNNNUAUGGGCAUUAUGAGUUCCUUGUGAUGCCGUUCGGGUUAACCAAUGCCCCUGCAGCAUUCAUGGAUCUCAUGAACAGAGUGUUUAGUCAAUACCUGGAUCACUUUGUUAUUGUCUUCAUAGAUGAUAUCUUAGUGUAUUCCAGGAAUGCAGAGGAGCAUGCCCAUCAUCUGAGGUUGGUUUUGCUGACCUUGAGGGAACAUGGCUUGUAUGCCAAGUUCUCCAAGUGUGAGUUCUGGCUGAGGAGUAUUUCAUUCUUGGGGCAUGUGGUGUCAGAAAGUGGAAUCGAGGUAGACCCCAAGAAAGUGGAGGCUGUAGCUAACUGGCCUAGACCCACUACAGUGAUAGAGAUCAAGAGCUUCUUGGAUUUAGCAGGUUACUACAGGAGGUUCGUUCAGGACUUCUCUAAAAUUGCCGCUCCCAUGACCAGACUGACUAAGAAGAACCAGAGGUUUGUGUGGACCGGCCAGUGCGAAGAGAGCUUUGAGGAGCUCAAGAAGAGGUUGACUUCAGCACCAGUGUUAGCUCUGCCAUCUAGUAAUGAAGACUUCUCAGUCUAUUGUGAUGCAUCCCGUGUGGGACUGGGCUGUGUGCUAAUGCAGAAUGAAAGGGUGAUUGCUUAUGCUUCAAGGCAGCUGAAGAAGCACGAGUUGAAUUACCCUACACAUGACUUAGAGAUGGCAGCAGUAAUAUUUGCACUCAAGAUGUGGAGGCACUACCUUUAUGGGGUUAAAUGUGAGAUCUUCACAGAUCAUAAGAGCCUACAGUACAUCUUAAGUCAGAGAGAUUUGAAUUUGAGGCAGAGAAGAUGGGUAGAACUGCUCAGUGACUAUGAUUGCAAGAUCCAAUAUCAUCCGGGCAAGGUGAAUGUUGUGGCAGACGCCUUAAGCCGGAAAUCACUUGGCAGUUUGUCCCAUAUUUCAGCAGAGAGGAGGCCAGUAGUGAGGGAGCUUUUCGAGCUCAUGAAUGAAGGCCUACAGUUGGAGUUGUCUGGUACAGGUGCUUUAGUGGCCCAGAUGAGAGUGACACCUGUGUUUCUGGAGCAGGUGGCUCAGAAACAGCAUGAGGACCCAGAGUUAGUAAAGAUUGCCAGGACUGUUCAGUCAGGCAAAGAUAGUGAGUUCAGAUUCGACAACAAGGGGAUCCUCCGCUAUGGGAGUCGUUUGUGUGUACCAGAUGACAUAGGGCUAAAAGGAGACAUUAUGAGGGAGGCUCAUAAUGCCAGAUACAGCGUUCACCCGGGAGCCACCAAGAUGUAUCAAGAUCUAAAGAAGGUGUAUUGGUGGCCAGCUAUGAAAAGAGAAGUGGCACAGUUCGUGUCAGCCUGCGAAGUGUGUCAGAGGGUGAAGCUGGAACAUCAGAAGCCGGCUGGAAUGCUUAACCCGCUACCUAUUCCAGAGUGGAAAUGGGAGAAUAUAGCUAUGGACUUCGUGGUGGGGUUACCGGCGACGUCCAACAGAUUGGACUCCAUAUGGGUGAUUGUGGACAGACUCACCAAAUCUGCUCACUUUAUCCAUGUUAGGAGUGGCUAUUCUGUGGACAAGUUGGCGCAGGUGUAUGUUGAUGAGAUCGUCAGGCUGCAUGGGGUUCCUAUUUCGAUAGUGUCUGAUAGAGGACCCCAGUUCACCUCCAGGUUUUGGCGGAGUCUGCAGAAUGCCAUGGGUACCAGGUUGGAUUUUAGCACUGCUUUCCAUCCACAGACGAACGGACAGUCAGAGAGGACCAUCCAGACAAUAGAGGAUAUGCUCAGAAUGUGUGUGCUGGAUUUUGGCAGUUCUUGAAGGCAGCAUCUACCUUUGGUGGAGUUUGCCUACAAUAACAGCCAUCAUACUAGCAUCGGGAUGGCUCCAUAUGAAGCCUUGUAUGAAAGGAAGUGCAGAUCACCUGUUUGCUGGGAAGAGGUUGGAGAAAAGGCCUUGGCAGGGCCUGAGCUAGUAGAGAUCACCAGCAGGAUAGUACCCAUAAUCAGAGAAAGGAUCAAGACUGCUGCAAGCAGACAGAAGAGUUAUGCAGAUAUCCGCAGAAGGCAAGUAGAGUUCCAGGAGGGGGAUUUGGUUUUGCUCAAAGUGUCUCCAAUGAAAGGGGUGAUUCGGUUCGGGAAGAACGGUAAGCUGGCUCCACGGUACAUUGGACCCUUUGAAGUCUUGCAAAAGAUUGGGAAUAUAUUGUACAAGCUGGACUUGCCUGCUUCAAUGGAGAGAAUCCAUCCGGUUUUCCAUGUUUCUAUGUUGAGGAAGUUCAUGUCAGAUCCGGGCAAGGUUCUUAGUGAGCCUGAUGUGGAGAUCCAAGAGGAUCUCACCUAUGUUGAGCAGCCAGUACGGAUUCUAGACACCCAGAUCAGAAAGCUAAGGAACAAGGAAAUCAGGAUGGUGAAGGUCCUUUGGAACCACCACAAUAUUGAGGAGUGUACCUGGGAGACACGGGAGUCCAUGCUCCAACAAUAUCUUCAUCUUUUCUAAGGUAAGUCUUAUGUGCUGUAUGUGUAUGUUAUGCGUAUGCCAUGCUAUGUGAUGUUUGGUGAACAUUCAGGGACGAAUGUUCUUAAGGGGGGGAAAAUGUAAUACCCGGCUAGACUCCGGUAUCGGAAUCCCUACCGUCCGGUGGGAUCUCGGAUGUCAGAAACCUCUAGAAGGGUAAAACCAUGUUUUUAUAAAAUGUUUUGAUAUAUUUUAUGUUUUUAAGUAAAAAGGAAGUUAAGUUUUAAAUGAAAAUAGCCUUGGAGGAAGACCCAGGUUCGGCCGCCGAAUCCCAAGUUCGGCCGCCGAACAUGCAUGCACUUCGGGAGUGCUUUAGGCCCCCGAAAGCAUAAGUGAGGGAAGUCCAGGUUCGGCCGCAGAACCUUAUGUUCAGCCGCCGAACAUGGCAUGCGUGCGGAGGCACGUUCGGCUCCCGAAUGUGGCCUGGCCAGCCACCUAUAAAUGGGUUCCUUAGCCGAAAUGGGCGAGUUUUCUCCCCAUUUUCGGCCAAGGUGAGCUCUCCGCCGUCCCUCACCGAUUUUGAGUUUCUUCCUUCAGAUCUUUCAAGAUUUUCAUGAGUUUUCACUUGGUUUUGAAGAUUUUGAGCAUUUGAGCAAGUUUUGAAGCUUGGAAGGCACAUGAGCUCCUUUCCUUUGGUUUCCAAGUUUAGGUCGUCUUUCUCUCGAUAUUCAAGAGGUAAGAGCCGAUCUUGAGCUCAUUGCAUGUUUUAAGUAAGUUUUAAAUAGAUCUAUGGGGUAGAAAUGCAUGUUUAGGUUAUUGUUAGGUUUAUGAGUUUAUGUAUGUUUAUGAACAAUGUGAGUUGUUUGAUGUGUUGUAGUUGGGGUUUUUGAUGGUUUGAAGCCCCUAGGAGCUUGUAUGCUUGGUUUUGUAUGUUUGGGAGUGUUGUAGAAUAGGUUUAUGCAUGUUGAAAGGUUUGGAAGGCGUUUGUGCAUGUUGGAGCUGAGUUUCUGCCACUUUGGAGAAACUCAGAUUCGGCCGCCGAACCCGCUUGUGGAGGCAGCCUUCGGCUGCCGAAGCCUGCCCCCGAAAGAGGACUUUCGUCUCUAGAGGGUAGUUUCGGCCGCCGAAAGUGCCGCCGAACAUGCAUGAGUUUCGUCUCUGUCUGGGAGUUUCGGCCGCCGAAGGUGCCACCGAACCUGCCUGACUUUCGGCUCUAGAGGGACUUUCGACCGUCGAACCUGCCGCCGAAAGUGCCCUGUUCAGCCUUCCUUUGCAUGUUUUCCAUGGAUGUUUUGAGGUGUUUUAGGGGGUUUUUGGGGAGUAUUUUUAGAGUUAUGUUCAUGUAUGUUUGGUCCCUCAUUUGAGUCCACCUGUGUAGGUUCGGACCCGAGGAACCGAGGACCCCAGCAGUGAGUUCAGCUACUUCUGUGUCUGUCAGAGCUAGCUAGAGGUGAGUGGAAUAACUCUCUAUGUUUUAAAAUAAAUAAGUCAGUUUUAGCAUGAAUCACGCAUCAUGAAUGCCAUGUGAUAUUCUAGGUUGUUUGCAUUAGAAUUCACGAAUAUGUUGCAUUGCAUAAUAUGUUGAUGAUGUGGAUGAAUGUUGGAUGAUCCUUUAGUCCUCGUAUGAUACGAUAUGAUGAUGAUACGGUACGAAAGACCAGUGAGGCCCAUUCUACGCCCCUGGCACAGUUGGACCAUGUAGAGGACUAUUGGUGACAAAUUCAUCCUUGAUGUGAUAUGACUGUGAUGUGAUGCAUUUCAUGUUAUCAUAUGUUUUAAAUGUUUUAUUAUUCUGCUCACUGGGCUUUAUAGCUCACCCCUCUCCCUUAACCCCCAGGGUAGACCAGGAGGUCAGCAGGAGUAGAAUCACGUUUUUGUAGUAGUUAGUAGUGGACAUGAAUAUGAUGUAAUGUAAAAGUACAGUAUGGAUAAGUAAUGAUGGUUAUGGAUGUUAGAGGUGUGCUUGACCAUAGAAUGUUGUUAUCCCUUUUAAUACAUGAUCUUAGAUGUUUUAUGAUGUUUAUGUAAACCAACUCAACACAUGUUAUGUCACCCAUUGGGGCACUGAUGAGAUCCCACAGAGAGGUCAAUGCUUAUGAUUAUGUUAU